rnacentral:tRNA from 1 species
GCCGGUGUGAUGGAAUUGGCAGACGUGCAGGACUCAAAUCCAGUGGUAGCGAUACCGUACCGGUUCGACCCCGGUCACCGGCACCA